rnacentral:rRNA from 1 species
CAGUCGCCGCGGUAAUACAGAGGGUGCGAGCGUUAUCCGGAUUUAUUGGGUUUAAAGGGUCCGUAGGCGGAUCUGUAAGUCAGUGGUGAAAUCUCACAGCUUAACUGUGAAACUGCCAUUGAUACUGCAGGUCUUGAGUAAAUUUGAAGUGGCUGGAAUAAGUAGUGUAGCGGUGAAAUGCAUAGAUAUUACUUAGAACACCAAUUGCGAAGGCAGGUCACUAAGAUUUAACUGACGCUGAUGGACGAAAGCGUGGGGAGCGAACAGGAUUAGAUACCCGUGUAGUCCCUGUCUCUUAUAC